GGGCGUGUAGUAUAGUUGGUUAUUGCGCCCGCUUCGCACUUCGACUGUUUGCGGGAGGUCUGGCGUUCGACUCGCCACUCGUCCA